UGCUGUGGAAUUACGGGUGGGUUGUGG
rnacentral:piRNA from 1 species